rnacentral:ncRNA from 2 species
CACUGUCGCCAGGGGAGCCCUGCUUUAAAGGGGCUGAGAUGCGUGCUGCGCAGACCCUGGAACCUGAUCCGGUUAGUACCGGCGGAGGAAGUGCGACAUGCUUUACCU